UACGAGGGGGGCAAGCGUUGUUCGGAAUUAUUGGGCGUAAAGGGUGCGCAGGCGGUCUGACAAGUCUGAUGUGAAAUCUAUGGGCUCAACCCAUAGUCUGCAUCGGAAACUGUCGGGCUUGAGUAUGGGAGAGGUGAGUGGAAUUUCCGGUGUAGCGGUGAAAUGCGUAGAUAUCAGGAAGAACACCCGUGGCGAAAGCGGCUCUCUGGAACGGUACUGACGCUGAGACGCGAAAGCGUGGGGAGCGAACAGG
rnacentral:rRNA from 1 species